UUUUUCCAAGAUUCGUUAUAAACUUAGGGAUAAGAGUGGGGUUUACGUUUAGAAUGUUUGCAAGUUUAUUGGUAGAGACAGCAUUAGUGGAAACAGAAGGUAAACGCUAUUGGUUAUCCUAAGACAACGAUUGACCUAUCCAAUUAGCCUUCAAAAUAGCUAAUAUUGGGGAAAAAUUGAAAGUGGCAGUAUUUUCGCACAAAAAAUGGCUGUGAAGUUAUAUUAAAAAGGUUAAAAAUUGCAUUUUUUUUUAAUUUUAAUACUAAGACGUGUUUUAUGAAAUUGUCUCCCGGAAGAUAAGCGCCGUUUCCACCAUCAUCAUUGUCGUUACCAUGGUACAGAAAUAUUGGUGAUUGUGAGAAUAUACCAAACACUCGGAUUGUCGAUUCCUCUAAAUAAUGUCGUCUGUCCAUUGUUUUUUUUUUUGACGACAAAGGAACAUGCUGUGCGGCGAACGCCUGGGGAAACAGGCGUAUGAGGGGCCCCUACACUGUACGAUGGACAGCAGACAGCCGUAUAAAAUGUGUCUAUCUUCACCUUCGCUAGUAAACAAUUCAUGAACAGGAUGUUCCGUCAUUGGUGGCGUCUGAACAAAUUUUUGAUUUCUUCACGGCGCCAAAAAUAAGUCUUCAGUAAAAGUCGAAUUUUUCACGAACCUUGUAAAAACAAAAUUUACGGAAAUUUAUCAAUAUGUUGUCUACCGCAAACAAUCAAAUAUGUAUCUAACACAAAUAAACACAUCUUGACCAAAA